rnacentral:tRNA from 1 species
GAGACACUAGUAGAAUAUGUCACUACAUUGCCUUGUCAAGGCAAAAUUGUGGGUUAAAUCCCCACGUGCCUCG